rnacentral:rRNA from 1 species
CGUCUUCAAGAUUAAGCCAUGCAUGUCUAAGUGUAAACCUCUGGUGAACUGCGAAUGGCUCAUUAACUCAGUUAUGAUUUAUUUGGUGGUGUAGUACUACUCGGAUAACCGUAGUAACUCUGUGGCUAAUACGUGAGAUGCUUCCCCGACUUAUCAGGAGGGGUGUGUUUAUUGGUUAAAAAUGCCGGCCCACGCUCCUGGCGUGGAUGAGGUGUUGAAGCAUGAUAAUCGUCGAAUCGCACGGCUUAAAGCUCGCGAUGCUCCAUUCAAAUUUCUGUCUCAUCAACUUGAUGGUAGGGUAGUGGCCUACCAUGGUCGUGACGGGUAACGGGGAAUUGGCGUUCGAUUCCGGAGAGGGAGCCUGAGAGACGGCUACCACUCCCAAGGGAGGCAGCAGGCGCGCAACUUACCCAAUCCUAACGUAGGGAGGUAGUGACGAGGCAUACCAUGGCCCUAGAUCAUCUAUGAUCUCGGUGAUGGGAUGCACCCAAGGUAAACGGUUGGGUGAUGAUCGAUUGGAGGGCAAGACUGGUGCCAGCAGCCGCGGUAACACCAGCUCCAAUAGUGUAUACUCGUGUUGUUGCGGUUAAAACGUUCGUAGUCGAAUUAGAAACCAGUAGGCGUCUAACGCUUCAGGUUACUGCUCAGAGUGCAUCGCGCCGCCGGGCGGCAACGAGUGCUCUGCGCAAGUUACCAUGACCAAAUUUUAGUGUUCAUAACAAGCACCUAGUUCCCUGAAUACAAUAGCAUGGGAUAACACUGAGAGGACCUCGACCUGGGUUACNCGGGUAAUCAGGAUCGAAGGAAUGAUUAACAGGAACAGUCGGGGGUAGUCGCAUUCCAUCGCUAGAGGUGAAAUUCUUUGACCGAUGGAGGACGAACAACAGCGAAGGCAUCUACCAAGUAUGUUUCCAUUGAUCAAGAACGAAAGUUGAGGGAGCGAGGACGAUUAGGCACCGUCGUAGUCUCAACCGUAAACGAUACCGACUAGGGGUUGGUAGACGUUUUUUUCGAUAGCUCUAUCAGCACCUUAUGAGAAAUCACAAGUCUUUGGGUUCCGGGGGGAGUACGGUCGCAAGGCUGAAACUUAAAGGAAUUGGCGGAAGGGCACCACAAGGCGUGGAGCUUGCGGCUUAAUUUGAUUCAACGCAGGGAAACUUACCAGGUCCGUACGUAGGGAGGAUUGACAGAUUGAUAGCUCUUUCUUGAUUCUAUGGGAGGUGGUGCAUGGCCGUUUCUAGUUCGUGGGGUGACCUGUGUGGUUAAUUCCGGUAACGAGCGAGACCUCAGCCUCCGGAGAGAUAUCGACGCGGCUUUCGGGCGGGUUGCCUAGGCGCUCUCGAGAUCCUCCUUAUCACGGAGGGACGCUUGAUGAAGAAUCAAGGGAAGCAUGAGGCUAUAGCAGGUCUGUGAUGCCCUUAGAUGUUCUGGGCUGCACGCGCGCUACAAUGAUGCGUUCAGUGAGUUCAUAUACUCACCCGAGAGGUUAGGUAGUCUCGUAAUACGCAUCGUGCUGGGGAUGGAUCAUUGCAAUUGUUGAUCCUGAACGAGGAAUGCCUAGUAAGCGCGAGUCAUCAGCUCGCGCUGAUUACGUCCCUGCCCUUUGUACACACCGCCCGUCGCUCCUGCCAAUGGGUGGGGUGGUAAGGGGAUGCGGUUGGCCGUGGAAGGGGGUCUCCAUGAGCCGUGCUAUUAUCUUCGAGCCGUCUUAUCUAGAGGAAGGAGAAGUCGUANCAA